rnacentral:rRNA from 1 species
UACGUAGGGGGCAAGCGUUGUCCGGAAUUAUUGGGCGUAAAGAGCGCGUAGGCGGUCCGGUAAGUCGGUUGUGAAAGUCGGGGGCUCAACCCUCGGAUGCCGAUCGAUACUGUCGGGCUAGAGUCCGGAAGAGGCGAGUGGAAUUCCUGGUGUAGCGGUGAAAUGCGCAGAUAUCGGGAGGAACACCUAUGGCGAAGGCAGCUCGCUGGGACGUUACUGACGCUGAGGAGCGAAAGCAUGGGGAGCGAACAGG